GGAGGAUGCAGGCCAUCUGGGGACUGAGGAGAAGGAAUGAACUCAUCAUGUUGGAGACUGGGGAAAUAUUCAUUCCAAGGAAGUGUGGUAGGAUUACUGGGUACUCAUUUUAUUUUAUUCUUUGAGACAGUCUUGCUAUGUUGCCCAGGCUGGCCUCGAGCUCCUGGGCUCAAGUGAUCCUCCUGCCUCAGCCUCUUGAGGAACUGGGAUUACAGGCAGGAGCCACUGCGUCCAGCUUUGGGUGCUCAUUUUAGAUUGACUUAUAAAUAUCCCCAGCUUUUUCCUCAGAGGGAAGCCUUCUGUGCUUCCUGGCCCAGCUUUCCCGCCCCCAUACCUGUGCUCAUUCAUUUCUUCAUUGGGGUUUACUAGGUGGAAUCUGAGCCAGAGGGAGGAAAGGAGGAGGCUGGCAAAGAGAGAGGCCACACAGAGUUCCCUGUGUGCUGCUCAGGGGGUCCCACCACAACCCCAGGCAGCCCAGCUCAGGGGGUCCCACUACAAUCCCGGGCAGCCAAGCUCAGGGGGUCCCACCACAAUCCUGGGCAGCCCAGCUCAGGAGGUCCCAUCACAACCCUGGGCAGCUUAGCUCACAAGGUCCCAUCACAACCCUGGGCAGCUCAG
rnacentral:lncRNA from 1 species